AAAACAUCAAAAUUUGUAUUUAUUUUUCAAAGGAAUUUGAGAUACCUUUCAAUAUUUAAAAAUGUAAAACAGUACAAUUGUCAUGUAUUGAUGCAUUACUGAUGAACUCUUGAUGGGAGAAAGGGGUACAAUCUUUCUGGGAGGUCACUGGGCAAUAAAUAUAAAAAGUUUUUCAAAUGCCCACACUCUGUCCCAGCAAUUCCACUUCUUGGAAUUUAUACCAAGGACCUAAGCAAACAUAUAUGCACAGAAUGAGUAACGGCGGUAGACACAGAGAUGCCCCAUAGGAGUGUCAUAUGAGGACUUGCUUCACAGGAGGACUUGCUACUUGCUGCCCAGCCUUGGAGAGUGUGGUCAACAGAUACCCCCAGCUAUCAGCUCCUUCAAAGUUGGCCUCAGCUGCAGAGUGCAGCCUCACGUGAGGUCCUUCCCCUCCCAGGACAGCCCUCAUCUGGUCAGUGAAUGACUUAAGAUUAUAAAAGCCCAGCCAUUUCCACCCAAUGGGACAACACUGAUAGGCCUUUACAGUAGACCCUGGGGUCUGCUGAGGCUGCAGGACUGUACCACAGUUCACCUCCCUCACCCACCCCUGCUUCUUCCCUCUUCCUUUCACAGGGAUCCAGCCCUAGUUAAUAUCUUAUACCUCCAAUGCCAUUUCUGUCAGCUUCUAAAGACUCAACCUGUGAUGGCAUCAAGCAUGACAUGUUAAGAAUGAGAAUCCCAAAGCUACCAAAACCCCCAACAAUAGAGAUGAUGGAGUAAAUUAUGGUUCCUCCAUAGUGAGAUAUUGUGCAGUCAUUAAGAAUGUAAAAGGAGGCCAGUUGCGGUGGCUCACACCUGUAAUCCCAGCACUUUGGGAGGCCAAGGCGUGAGCCACUGUGCCCAGCUGCCAACAGUGGCUAUUUCCAAGUGGAGAUUUUGUACUUCUCUCUUUUUUCCAAGUGUUUUUACAAAAGACAUGUAUAUUACUUUUAUAAAUGAGAAAAUCUGUAUGAUACAAAAAUAAAACUGGGUUUCCAUAUCUACAGGUUCUAUAUCUGCAGAUUCAACCAACUAUGGAUCUGGGUGUAGGGAGUAAGGGAAACAAUGAAAAAUUACAACAAUUAAAAAUAACACAAAUGUUAAAAAACACAGUAUAACUACAUAGUAUUUACAUUGUAUUAGGUAAUAUGAGUAAUCUAAAGAUGAUUUAAAGUAUAUGGGAAGACUGUGUAGGUUUUAUGCAAAUACUAUAUCAUUUUAUAUGAGGGACUUGAGAAUCUGUAGGUUUUCGUAUGAACAGGGGUCCUAGAACAAAUUCCCCCAAAUCCUGAGGGAUGACAGUAUGUCCAAAUCUGACUUCUACCUCAUCCCACAACCUUCAAUCCCCUCCUGCCUUUCCUGAUUUGGUAAAUGGUACCAUGCCUAAAAUUUGAGGGUCAUGCACGACUUUUUGGUCUCUCAUGCCAACCCCAUUCCCUGUCUUGUCAAUUUUAUUUCUACUACCUUAGUUAAGUCUCUCAUUAGCGCUCAGCUAGAUUUCAGAAACAGUGAUGACCUUCUUGAAAUCUAACUCUUAAACCACCAACACACUCCCCACUCCUGCCCCAAUUAACCCCUCUUUAAAGGACUCCCAGUGGCCUUUAAAAACCAUCUGACAAUUGCCAGCACAUUAAGUGGUGUCCUUCAGGAUCUGCUCCUUCCUGCUUCUCUAACCACGACUUGACCUGUGCUUCUCCCUUUUCCAGAAAUGUGUUUCUCUCCCUUCCUUUGCCUUGCUUUCUCUUACCUAUUCUUCCAGGCUCAAUUCAGGCCUCUUCCUUCUCAGAAAUCAAAAAGCUUAGCAGAUCCUCCUGAGCGAGGUGAGGCAUAUCUUCUUUAUGCAAUCAUAGCCCCUUUCACAAGGUAUUAUAUUGCCUCUUUUCCUCACUGAACCAUAAGCAAUUUAAGAGUGCCUGGCUUGGUGCCUGACACAUAUCUAGUAUUCAACAACUGUUUAUUAACUGGAGUGUGUAUAUGUAAAACCUAUAACUUAAUGUACAGAAUUAAUAAAGCAUUGAUAACA
rnacentral:lncRNA from 10 species